CCUCGGAGAGUUUGAUCCUGGCUCAGGACGAACGCUGGCGGCGUGCCUAAUACCUGCAAGUCGAGCG
rnacentral:rRNA from 1 species